rnacentral:rRNA from 1 species
GGCAGCAGUGGGGAAUUUUGGACAAUGGGCGCAAGCCUGAUCCAGCCAUGCCGCGUGCAGGAUGAAGGCCUUCGGGUUGUAAACUGCUUUUGUACGGAACGAAAAGGUUUGGCCUAAUAAGCUGAGCUCAUGACGGUACCGUAAGAAUAAGCACCGGCUAACUACGUGCCAGCAGCCGCGGUAAUACGUA